GGGAACGAGUGCAGCUCAGGGUUAGAGCAUCCACUUUGCAUUCAGGAGAUCCCAGGUUCAAUCCCUGGUGUCCCCA